rnacentral:rRNA from 1 species
GACGAACGCUGGCGGCGUGCUUAACACAUGCAAGUCGAACGGUGAAGCUCCAGCUUGCUGGAGUGGAUCAGUGGCGAACGGGUGAGUAACACGUGAGCAACCUGCCCCAGACUCUGGAAUAAGCGCUGGAAACGGCGUCUAAUACUGGAUACGAGAUCAAGCCGCAUGGUUAUGGUCUGGAAGGUUUUUCGGUUUGGGAUGGGCUCGCGGCCUAUCAGCUUGUUGGUGAGGUAAUGGCUCACCAAGGCGACGACGGGUAGCCGGCCUGAGAGGGCGACCGGCCACACUGGGACUGAGACACGGCCCAGACUCCUACGGGAGGCAGCAGUGGGGAAUAUUGCACAAUGGGCGAAAGCCUGAUGCAGCGACGCCGCGUGAGGGAUGACGGCCUUCGGGUUGUAAACCUCUUUCAGCAGGGAAGAAGCGAAAGUGACGGUACCUGCAGAAGAAGCACCGGCUAACUACGUG